GAGAAAGAUGAUGUCAUUGAAGAAGAAGAAAAAACAGCUAUGCAGCCUCUGAAAGUUUCAGAAAGUAAUGAAGCUGAAAGAGAAGAAAUUGCUUGAAAAGCCAUGCCACACAGAUGAAGACUGCAUUUCUAUAGGUCAGAGAACUGUAAUGUAUGGCUGUUAAGGGCAUUUGAAUAAAGAAAAUACUAGAAGAUCUUCAGCAAGUUCCUUCUCAUCUUAGAGGAGCAGGAUUUCUUCAUACUGCAUAGUAAAAGCACAACAUAGAGUUCCUGGAGCUGUGAUGGGUUCCAUUAACUGGACUUUGAUGUCAUACAGUUUUCCACUUUCUUAAAAAAAAGGACAGCCAAAAAAAUGUUUUUAAGACAAAUGAUUUUCUAGUGAUGCACACAGACUUAGACCGACUUAGAGUAACAGUAUUGAAUCUGGAAUUAUUGUGCAAUGGAAGAGAAUUUUUAAAUAUUAACUUUUUGCAGUUCUAGCACAUUUUCAGCCAUGCAAAAUUGACAAUUUUAUAAAUGAUUUAAGUUAUUUUGUUUUGUUAAGAAAAAGCUUGAGGUUUCAUUUUUAUAGAAUAAGAACAUUGAUAAGACAAAGACAGCCACACUAGGCAAAAAUCAUUCAUGAUCUAUAGCACAGGGGGUACUUAUGCCAUCAAAUGGGUCAGGUAAAUUAGAACUGUACUUUAUCAAAAUUACUCUCCCAGAUUGCAGAACUUGUUUAGAUGUCAUUUAAUAAGAAAAAUGUGUGUAAGCUUCUGUUUUUUACCUUUAAAUAUUUUAUUUUGGAGUCUACACACCUAAUUCUCUUGCCUACUAAAGCCUGUCCUCCAGUCUUUUAAAAAGACAUAUCUCUUUUCAUCCCAUUAGUGUAGCUCUGCUCAACAUUUGAGAGACUUUUUUCACAAGUUUGCCUUAACUUUUACCUUGAGCAGGGUCAGAGGGAAUUUUUCACAAUGAACAUGGCAUAGAUUCUUGUUUGCCAGCUUCGUCAUCAUGAAAUAGUCCUCACAUGCAUGGCAUUCUUGUGGCUGUGGUAGGACACCAGUCAUGCCAGUUGCAAUGGUGUUAUGCCACUGAGUAAGCAUUCGUGCUUACCUUGCUGUAGACUACACUCUUAUGUAUGCACAGGAAAUAGUGUAUGAUGACCAUACAGCACCUGUCCUUCCCUAGGUGGUAUGUAGAGUUCUCUACCCCCUUACAUCCCUUAGAUGAGAGCUUACUAUUCCUCAUUUUUCCUUUCAGAGAAGUUUUACCAAACUCUGUUGCUUUUUCAAAAACUUGGGUCAGUGGGGGCAGGAAUGAAGGCCUGUUGUCUGUGUCAUAAGCGUGCAGAAUUUCUUGUUGAAAAAAUGCUAAAGAAGUACUUACAUUUGCAUUAUCUGUCUUCAGUGAAUGAUUACUUUUUCCCCUCAGUGUAAGCUACUCUUUCAUGCUUUAGCUGUAUCUAAUGUUCUUGGAAGUACUUUAUUUUUAAUUGCACUGGUAUGGUAGCUGAAGGCAUUUUACAUUGAGGCAUGCAUUACUCUGUCCUUGUAUGGAAAAUAAGUACUGUCUGUAACCCCUUGGGCAUGUGACUAGAACUCCAUAUGAAUCCCCUGUUGUAUGUAAAGUACUGAGCAGGAGUUGGAACUAGAUGAUGUUCUCUACCUAAUUUCAACUUGAGUUAAGAGGCUGUUAAGUUCAUUGAGCAUCAUUUUCAUUGUUCAAGGAAAACAGAAACUAACAGUAGUGUGUGAUGAACAUUCCAGUGCUUAAACUGUGUAUUAUAAAAAUGUGUUUUUCAAAUUGUAUUACUUUUUUUAAUGGUAUGCAUACCACUUGAGGAAAUUCUAGAUGACCACAGUUAAGUUUAUCUUUGGCAAGUGUCACACUUUUGUACUGUUGUCAUGUAUUGAGUGUUUAGUGUCCUUUGGGUGGCAUGAAACUAUGAUAUAAAAUAGUGCAAAACCAACUGGUCUGGUGAUCUGACCAGCUCAUUCAGAAUUCUCUUUUUGAGAAAUAGUGAAAUUUGAAAUGCAAAUGCCACUGUUUCUCAAAAAGUGAAUUCUGAAAAAUGAUGACAUUUGAAAUGCAAAUUUGAUGAGCUAAGCUUAGCUUUUCCAAAUGCUCAACUUUAACAAGCUUCUUAGUAAGUACAGCUUGUUUCUAAAAUGGAGGAUAGAGAGAUUUUUUUUUGUAUUUGUUCUUCCUGUUAGAUUUAUAAAUAUGUCAGUGAUAUUGUGUCUUAUGACCAUGUAUGCCUAGGCCCUUUCACAGGUUUAUACCUCUUUACUCCAGGAGGGCCUUAACAGUCAAUUCCGGAGUAAGUUUGUGAAAACCAUUCGGUUAUCCAGGUUAUGUUUUAUGGAAGAUAGCAAGUUCCACUGAUUAACAUGCUGGGUAUGUUUAUUCCAGAGUUUGGGGAGGCAGUGGUUUAUAAACUUGUGAAGAUUUAGAUGCCUAGAGCCAUUGGACUUGGAGGUACCAAAAGUCCACGGCAAACAGAUUGGUAAUGGAAUGAAAUAUUGAAAUCUCCCCUCAUAAGUCUACAAGGCACUGAAUAAAGGGACCGAGCUUCCAGCCUCUUUUUAUAGCUGAGGAACUUUAGGCCUGCAAUCUUUUUGGUUAAGAACCUUGUUUUUUUGUAAUUGAUAUGUUUAGUGAGAUAUAGCUGAAAGGGGACAUUGUACUCUAUAUUUCCUUUGAUUAUGCUGAACAUGGAGUUUUAGACCUCUUUAGACCUUGAUAUUCUUUUAGCAAUAAGUUGUGCUAGAAACAAAGAUUUCCUAGCAACCACUGUCAUGGUGAAAAGAAAGAGAAUUAUCAACCAAAGUUCCUAGGCCCCUGAUUACAUUUUCAUUGUGUAGUGUAAUGUAUGCAUGAGGGAAAUGGUUGUUUUCCAAAAGUGAGGCUUGGUCUCAUUUUUAGUGCGGGUCGCAUUGCAGAUGAGGCUUGUAAGACUGAUGAGCUGUAUUUACCCAGGGUCAGUUUUAAGACCACCUUUAUAGAUGGGCAUCACCAAUGCAGUACACCACUUAGCAAGGACAAAACCAGUAGCUAAACUUAGGUCAAACCGAUUAAGGUGUUGAUCUUCAAGGCCAUGCUUAACACUAUGAAUUAAGUAACCAAGAGAAUUUUCAGGUCCCAUGAAGGAAGUAUUCUUGGCCUUCGUUAGCACUUCCAGUAAAGUAUCAUUAGAGAUGAGAUAAUUGAGAGAGUAGGUGAUUCAGGUAUCUCUGGGCAUUAGAUAGAAGUCAUGGGACUGAAGUUGAAACCAAAUUUGUUUGCAUGGUUAUUGGCAGUCUCUGGUCAGAAUAGGAAAAGUCAUGAUGAAAACGUUCAGAGCAGAAAAAGGUUGUUGUUUUAGUUUUCUAACAUAGCUAAAGAAGGCUUUCUAAUUGUCUUUGGUUUCUGAGACCAGCUUAAGUAUGUGAGCUACUUUAUUGGACCUGGUGGUCUUUUUCAUUUUUUUUAUGAAGUUUUGGAUAUUUUCCUUGAGAAGAGAGGGUUUGGAUGUGCUGUAUAAUUUAAUGAGUUUUUCUUUUGUUGUAGAGUUUAUUUAUGGUGGCGAACCACCAGGGUGGUUUAGUUUUGAAAUUACUGUGAUACCUGGUUCUGGUAGGGAUUUUUAGCUCUGUGUAUGUUUCUAAACUGGUGUAGAAUUCCUUAGAAAAGCUUGUUGCUGUAUCAAGGUCAGGGGUGGUGAAGUGAUAAGUGAAUUUUGAUGUUUUAUCGUAGAGUAGGUUGAGGCUGGUCACAUUUGUAGUGCUUAAAUCCAGUGGAGUUUACUGUAGGGACUUGGGAGUUUAGGGAGAAGGUCACAAGUUUGUGAUCAAACUUCACUGGGGAAGGUGAUACUAUAGUAAUGCAAGAAGUUGCAUUAUUGUAAUAACUGGUUUACGAAUGAUAUUCUCUAGUAGGUUUGUUUGCAAACUGCUGAAGGGAGUUUUUAUUUAUAAAGUCUAGACAUUUUUGGGGAAGAUCCUAUAUUGUUGGUAUAGGUGUCCCAGUUUAUUCAAGAAUAGUUAGACAGCCAAAAUAAUGAAUUAGCACUAAUGGGGAGAUUGUUUAGGACACUGAGGAAUCUCAAGUAGUCAUCAGAACACAAAGGUGGUGUUCUGUAACAAGCUAUUCAUUGAUUAUUAAACCUUUCUACAGUGUCCUGUAGUUCACUGAGUUCAGUUUGUCUCUCUCUCAGGAUCUGCCUUGGAGGCAAUAUGUUCCUUGCCAAAUACGAAGACUCCACCACAGUUGCCAUUGGGCCUGAAGAUAUGAAAAGUGCAAAACCCUGGUAUAGAGGGAGUGCUUGCUUUACAUUUAAACUGUCCAUAACUGUACUUACAUGGAUCUUUCCCAAAUACAGGAGUGCCUCAAGGUCAGGUAAUUUUUUGUUCAGACUUCUGGUGUUGAGGAGAGCCACCCUAAUGUGAUCCAGUUUUGGGGCUGAUAUGUAGCAGUGUUAGAAUAUCUUAUCAACUUAUGAAAAAAAUGCAUUAGUCAGCAUAUGGAAGUCCUUGAAUGAGAAGUGCAGGCCAUUUUUAGUGAAGCAAACUGUACUGUUGAGCAUCAUGCCCUAUGCUGACAAAUGAUGUAUGUUGUGCCAACAGCCUGACCAGGAAACUGUGAAUAUCCUACCCCCAAUUCAGGAAAAUGCCAGUGUUCAUAUUCCAAGCUUUCCAGUUACAGUUCUUUGUAUGCUGAGAGUUUUUUUUUAUGUAUUUUUCUACAGUUCUGGAAAGACUAUCAAAAUUAAAAUUGCAUUUGAUGUGCACAGCAUAGUUCAGUGAGCACAUCAGACUGAAUGUCAAUAACCGUUGUUGUCAUCAUCUUUAUCACCUUUCCCCACCCUUACUAUUUACUACCCGGGGUCUGUGUGUCUGACCAGGAUGUUCUUACAUCUUUGUAAUGAUAUCCAGGGUCAUUCUGAAGAGUCAGAAGGACACUACAAAAAUCAUUUUGAUGACUCCCUUCCGGUCUAGGCAACAGUGGUUCUCCUUUUUUAUGGAAUUAGCCAAGGGCUAUUACAGCAAGCUUCCUCCCACAUUUGAUCUAUUCACAUGAAACAAGGGGAGUUUGAUAUGCCACAUUCUCAAGCAGGUACAACUGACUGCCUGGGUUAGACACAGUUGAUAUUAAAAGAUGCCAAGAAUCCUGUUACUAGGAAAUAAUAUAUUAGCAAAUGGAAGAACUUUACUAGCUGGUGCUGAACUAAGAACCAGGUGCAUUUCCAGGUUUCUCUACCGCUGGUUUUAUGAUAAUUGUACAAGUUACUAUCCUCUGGCCUAUCUUACUCUAGUGUUAAGGUUAUCUUUUGGCUAUUUCAGCAUGUCUUCUUAUGGAUCCCCCCUUUUCUUCUCGGUCUUUGUUCAGACUUUUCUUACAAAGGGUUUUGCAUGCAACAGGUGGUACCUUAUUGACAUCUUAACUUAGAAAAGUUAACUAUGUCUUCUGUUGAACCAGCAUCUGCAAGAAGAGUAUCUGAGGUACAUGCUCCUAUCGUGGAUGAACCCUAUUUCAUUUUUCUUAAAGAUAUGGAUACUUUUAAGAACAAAUCCCUCAUUUGUGCUUAAAAUAGUUCUGAGUGUUAAUUUGAAUUAAGCCAUCAAGCUUCCUAUUUUCCUUCUACAACUUAUAAAAAAUGGAGAGAGGAUUCUCCAUACUCUGGAUGUGCAUAGACACAUCUGGAAUUGUCUUAACAGAGUUAAAUACUUUAGGAAGGCUGAGCAUCUGUUUAUUUCCUAUGAAGGGGAAAAAGCAAGACCAUUUCCAGGAGGUUGCCCCUUGCUAUUCCCACAAUGACAAUACCUAUGGCUGGGUCAAUACUCAUUCUACUAUGACUUUUGUUUCUCUGGUGGCUUAUUGGAAAGGGGUGAAAUGUAGAAGCAUUCUAGAGUCAGCUAUUUGGUCCUCUGUACAUCCCUUUACAAAGCACUACAAACUAGAUUUCUUUCCCAGCUCUAGAGCAUGCUUUGCUAGGUCCAUUCUUCAGAGGCUCAUGGACCCUCAACUUGCCUUCUCCCAGUCUGUGUGAACUUUUGGAAAUGACUACUGCAGCCCUGAUGUAUGAGUGAGCAUAGUAUAGCUGUGUAAGUGCACUUCAAAGCAUUGCUGUAGAGCUGCUGUCACCCUCCAACCCUCUUACUUUAUUUGUUGGAUUUUGCUGUACCUAGAGAAUUUUUUUGUUCCCUAGCUUUACUCUCUCUUGUAUCAGGACAGAAAUCUCUGUUUUUGCUGUUAAGAAAGUCCUGAAAAUUUUGUUUCCCAAGCUGCUGGUUUUCUCAUUUGGCUUCUUGUGCCACAAGCAUCCUAGGUGCUUGAGUAGAAUGAGCUAAAGGCUUGGAAGACUGUCCAGUUGUUAUAUCCUAGGAACACUAUAACCUACAUGAAUGCAGGGUACUGCAGCAGUGAUUUAAUCAAACAUCUACUGUUAUGGCAAGUGCAUUUACACACCUGUACUUUCUGAAGAGAUGGCCCUGCCAGUGGGAUUUAUUGUGUCUAUAUGGACAACAAAAUCCACCCAGACUCUCAGUUCUGCCUGUGGAUCAGUUAACUUGACUCAAAAGAAUAAGUCACCGACAAUAAGCACUGUAAGAAGUUGAUGAGAAAUGCAGCAGUUUCACACGAAAGAGAAGAAGCAGGGACUAUUACUUAAGAAAUGUGUACUCAUUGCUUAGGCUGAUGUCCUCCUCCAUAUUGUCUAACUUAUAAACAUGAUAAAACUUUCUGCUGAUAUCAACACUUGAAGAACUAGCAUGGUCUGAAGCUUUGUUGCACCUUACAUAGGUUUUUCUACCCCCCCCCUUACAUUUUCCAAGGGAGAGUAUUCCUGCCUACGAGAAAGACAGACUGUCAGCAAUCAACAAACAUACAAGAAAUCAUGUCCUAUAGAAGUAUAAACUAACUUCUCACAAGUUUUUAUGUUCUCCCCUUGUUUAAAUUUAAUCAGACACAUGCUGGUUUUGAUAAAACAGACUUAUUUAGCAAAAUAAUUUCUGUAUGGUUACUGUAUUGAACAAACACUAUUUUUCUGUGUUAAAUUGAAUGCAGUUUAUUGAUACAUAUGCAUGUGUAGUCAUUUACUUUGCACUGGGGAAAUGAAUUUUAUGAUGUUUUAAUCAGUGGUCCUAAUUGGACAAUAGGCCUGAACACUGCUAAAUUACUUAUGUUACCUACUUAGAGUAUUGAUCAUGGAGUUGCCCCUGGCCUUAUACUCCUUCAUGUCUGCAGUAAAAAUGGGAUGUCCUGUCUUACUUGUUUAAAUUGCCCCUAAAACACUGAUAUCAAAAGAAUGCUUGUAUUUGACCAGAUGACAUGUGCAGGAUAUACUACGAAUCAUGAUAACUAAAGUCAAAUGUCCCAAAUCAGUCUGUUACAUUUAGCAGUAAUGUUUCUUGGAAUUACUCUACAUUUAACAAAAAUUUUGCAUCAGAAGGAAGAAUGCCUUUAAAUUAGCAGUCAUGACAUAUUCCUUGAAGAGUGUAUAUCCUGAUACUCUGCUUCAUUAUGCUUGAUACUACCAUAACUCUUUUGUCCAAUUACAGAUGUUUACCAAGUAGACAGUUUAACGCAUUCUGAUCAUAUGAAUGCUGACUUAAACCACACAAUACUGUUAGCAUCUCUAAUUCAUCUGUUGUUGUGAGAGACCUCUUGCAAAGUCUAUCAGCAGUAAAUUGUUUAAAAAGAUACCACAACUUUGUACUUUUAUGCUUAUUUGGCACCCUUUGUGCAAGUUAAAGGGAUUUGCAGAGCCUCACUCCUGGCAAAAAAAAAGUUACAUUCUAUAAAUAUUUCCAGUUCUUGCUUAGACCCACUUACCUCAUUCAUUCAGUACAAUAGCCUUUGCGUUAUUGAAAACCACAAGAAGUAAGUCAACAUCCGCUUAAUGUUUUAAUGAUGACGAGCAACAUAAGUGUAUUAUACUGGAACAUGGUCCAAGCUGGUUCCAGCUAUUAUUUCUCUGGUUUUAAACAUACUGGGCAAUGCUUUAACCUAGUAUGUUAUGUUGUCUCUCAGUACAAAGUAGCACCAGUAAGAAUCAAGCAGCUUUUCUCUUUCAGAUGAAAGAAGCAAUGUUUUUUGGGGUCACAGUGGUUACCUUUUGUUAGUGUACAUGGGCCGUGUACAUUAGAUUUAUCAGCACUGAUGGAAGAGAAGGUUUGUCUAGGCUUACAUUUAUUGGAGUGUGUGUAUCCUUUUUAAACAUUAUCAUUACAUGCCAAAAAUGGGGACUGAGUACAAGAAGCACCUCUAGCUGUUCUGUAAUGGCCAUGUGAUCCAUUGCUUUAUCCCCCUUCCUGUAGAGGUGACUUCCUCUAUGCUGUCAGUAAGCACCCAUUCAGGAGAUUUGGGACAGAUCUGACAAAGAGCUUUAUCAAGGUGUUGCCCACUUGCACUGGCUGUUGGGGAAUAAAUGGAUGAAAAGAGAGAAAAAAAUUUCAAUUCAGGUUUAUACAUGAUUUUCAAGGUGUCUGCAGGACGGAUGCUACUCAGUGUGUAAGGUUUCAUCUUUCAUGCCAAAACAAUGAUAAUCACUGUCUGUCGGGAACACUUCAGUGUACUAAUAGGGCUGUGCCCUUCUCACCAGCUGAGCUAAACUUUUUUUUGUUUUUGGUGAUAUAAAUGAAGAGACGAUUGCUUGGAUUUUUUGAGUUUGUAUUUACACCUGCAUAUUCCACCUUUAUGAGAUUCUCAUCUGUGCACACUGCAGUGGAUGAAUAGUGUUUGUUAUCCUUUGUACAAUUUUUAGGUUCGGAUAAUUUCAACAAACUGUGGAGAAAGGGUUACAGAGUGUCUGUACAUGUACAUGGUGAUAACAUUUUUUAGCAUUUCAUUUAUAUAAGCUAGUGUACUUAAGAUGUAUAAUAAUUUCCUUCAGACCAAUGAAACACAUUUUCCAUGACAUUUGUGGCAUUUCAGAGGUCUGUAGGAGCAAAUGAGUUAAAGCAUACAUUUGAAGAUUUACUACCUGUCUGCUUUGUUUCUUAAACCAAGAUAUUAAUUUCAUAUUGAAGAGUAGAAUAUAGUCAUUCAAAGUUAAAAUGAUUUCUCCACAUAAGCAACUGCUUAAUCUGAAGUAUGAAAACUGUAGAUGCCAUUGUGCUUAUAGAAACUACAUCUUUAAAGUAUAAUUGAAGAUUGUUGUGAGACACUUUAACAUUGUAGACAAAGGAAAACCAAACUGCACUUUAAGGAAUCUUAUCACUGCAAACAACAUUAGGAAGGGAUAGCCAAGGUUAUUAGUUUCAAAUCUGUGUGCUCAUUUUAAAUAUUUGUGUAAAGUAGGUCUUCUGGUACUGAUAUACACAUACAGCUUUGAAUUGAAAAUCUGUACUUAUGAAAAAAUAAAGCCUUCAUGUUUUGUU